rnacentral:rRNA from 1 species
AAAGAUUAAGCCAUGCACGUCUCAGUGUAAGCAAUUUAAACUGUGAAACUGCGGAUGGCUCAUUAGCUCAGUUAUAAUUUAUUUGAUAAUGAUUUACUACUUGGAUAACUGUUGUAAUUCAAGAGCUAAUACAUGCGUAAAGGUCCAACUCGAGAGGGAAGGACUGUGUUUAUUAGAUCGAAAACCAGCGGGGUUCUGUGGUUUCGGCCAUAGGCCCAUUGUUGUUGGUGAAUCAUGAUAAAUGUCGAAUCGGGCACUAGUCCGAUGUGUCAUUCAAAUUUCUGCCCUAUCAACUGUUGAUGGUAGGAUAGGGGCCUACCAUGGUUUUGACGGGUAACGGAGAAUUAGGGUUCGAUUCCGGAGAGGGAGCCUGAGAGAUGGCUACCACUUCCAAGGAAGGCAGCAGGCGCGCAAAUUACCCAAUCCCAAUCAUUUUGGGGAGGUAGUGACAAAAAAUAAUAAUGCAGGGAUCUAAUGGUCUUAUGCAAUUGUAAUGGUCCAAAUGUAAAUUGUUUGGAGAGCAGCCAUUAGAGGGCAAGUCUGGUGCCAGCAGCCGCGGUAAUUCCAGCUCUAAUAGUGUAUAUUAAAAUUGCUGCAGUUAAAAAGCUCGUAGUUGGAUUUUGGAGGAGACAGUAUGCUUGCAGGUUUUUUGCUGUGCUUCUUUGCUCGUGAUGGUUGUCCUUCCAAAAGGUGCCGUUUGCGACGGUUGUGUGGCCCUGUAGGUUGUCUUUUCCGGUAUUUUUCGGAGCUAUAUAUCCUCCUUCAUUGGCUGGCUAUAUGGAUUCGGAGAGUUUACUUUGAAGAAAAUGGAGUGUUCAAAGCAGGCGUUUCGCAGCUGAACACAUUAGCAUGGAAUAAUAAAAUAGGACAUCUGUGGGCUUCUACCGUCUUCGGGCUGCACUCUUGCUUUUCUCGCUGGCUUUGUUGGGGUCUCACGACCUCUUCAUUGCUCCCAGCGGUUCAGGGGUGAUUUGUUCGAUGUUCAUAGGGGGAGUUCUAUCUUGUAUAUCCAUUUUGUUGGUUCAUGGAGCAGGUGUAAUGAUUAAUAGGGACAGUUGGGGGCAUCUGUAUUGCAUUGUCAGAGGUGAAAUUCUUGGAUUUAUGCAAGACAAACUAGUGCGAAAGCAUUUGCCAAGGAUGUUUUCAUUAAUCAAGAACGAAAGUUAGGGGAUCGAAGGCGAUCAGAAACCGCCGUAGUCUUAACCAUAAACGAUACCAUCUUGGUUUUGAAGGGUUUUGCCUGAUUAUGGCCCCAUCAGCGCCAUUAGAGAAAUCAAAGUCUCUGGGUUCUGGGGGGAGUAUGGCUGCAAAGCUGAAACUUAAAGAAAUUGACGGAAGGGCACCACCAGGUGUGGAGCCUGCGGCUUAAUUUGACUCAACACGGGGAAACUUACCAGGUCCGGACACGAGAAGGAUUGACAGAUUGAUAGCUCUUUCUUGAUUUCGUGGGUGGUGGUGCAUGGUCGUUCUUAGUUGGUGGAGUGAUUUGUCUGGUUAAUUCCGAUAACGAACGAGACCUCAAUCUGCUAAAUAGGCGGGCAACGGGCUUCCGCUCGAUGCCUAUUAGCCUUCUUAGAGAGACUACCUAAGUCGCAUUAGGGGGAAGCAUGAGGCAAUAACAGGUCUGUGAUGCCCUUAGAUGUCCUGGGCCGCACGCGCGCUACACUGAUGCAGUCAACAAGUCUGUCCAAGCCCGAAAGGGCAAGGUAAUCUUUUCAAACUGCAUCGUGCUGGGGAUUGAUCUUUGUAAUUUUGGAUCAUGAACGAGGAAUACCUAGUAAGUGCAAGUCACCAACUUGCGCUGAUUACGUCCCUGCCCUUUGUACACACCGCCCGUCGCUCCUACCGAUUGAAUGAUCAGACGAAAUGCUUGGAUUGUGCGUUUGUGGAUGCUUCUGUGUUUACGAAUGUGCGAGAAGAGUAGUAAAUCUUAUUAUUUAGA